rnacentral:rRNA from 1 species
AGCGAACGCUGGCGGCAGGCCUAAAACAUGCAAGUCGAACGCCCGUAGCAAUACGGGAGUGGCAGACGGGUGAGUAACACGUGGGAACGUACCCUUUGGUUCGGAACAACACAGGGAAACUUGUGCUAAUACCGGAUAAGCCCUUACGGGGAAAGAUUUAUCGCCAGAGGAUCGGCCCGCGUCUGAUUAGCUUGUUGGUGAGGUAACGGCUCACCAAGGCUACGAUCAGUAGCUGGUCUGAGAGGAUGAUCAGCCACACUGGGACUGAGACAC